AGGAUUAUAGGUUAAAACACAAGAAACCAUUGGCCUUCAAAGCCGAAAUUGAGAUUUCUGAUCCUG
rnacentral:tRNA from 1 species